AGUCAUUGACAAGGACAUCGUCAUGGACCGGUGGUGAAGAGCCUCGAGAGUGAAGGUAAAUUUUUUGAAAAGAGAAGUCCACUAUUUCAGCUUCAUAAUUCAGCCUGGAAACUGAACUGCACCAUAAAACUUGUGCUUGAAAAGUUUCAUGGGACCCAUAUUAAGUUUCCAAAUUUGAUCUGCUGGACACAAGUAGCUUUGAAGAAGAAGGAUCCCAGCUUAAAGAAAAACAUGUGUCACAUCCAUAAAUGUUUGACAUCAUCUUCAAGCACACCUGGAUUCCUUGUUGCAAUGUCUUCAAAACAAAUGUAAAAAUGAAAGGAUUUCAGUGGUGAGCUCAUAAUGAUGGGAUCAAAAGGAAGUGAACUGGACUCUGAGGGACUUAACAGAAGGUAAGUUCAUUUCAAUACAUUUUAUGUCAAGAUUAAUUCUGUGAUUUAAAUUCAUAUUUACACACUCUACAAAUGCUGUCUUUCUACCUCAAAUUGUGAUGGACAUGGAAUGUGACACCGUUUACGAAUAAGUCAAGAACCAAAUGAAACGCACUAUUUUCCAGAGUACAGAUUAU
ensembl:processed_transcript